rnacentral:rRNA from 1 species
GACAGAGGAUGCAAGCGUUAUCCGGAAUGACUGGGCAUAAAGCAUCUGUAGGUGGUUUUUCAAGUCCACCGUCAAAUCCCUGGGCUCAACCCUGGACAGGCGGUGGAAACUACCAAGUUGGAGUACGGUAGGGGCAGAGGGAAUUUCUGGUGGUGCGGUGAAAUGCAUUGAGAUCGGAAAGAACACCAACGGCGAAAGCACUCUGUUGGGCCGAGACUGACACUGAGAGACGAAAGCUAGGGGAGCAAAUGGG